GGAACCCCUCAGCUAUGAGUACACAUCUACCCUGCAGGGGAAGGAAGGCUGGCAGGGCCUUGCUGCUAAGAGAUUACUGUGAAUAUUAGAAGAGACUUUGGACUUUUAAACAGUGUUGAAACUGUUAAGACUAUGGGGACUUUUGAAGCUGGACUACUGUAUCUUGCAUUAUGAGAUGGCCAUGAGCCUCUGAGGGUCAGGUUUGGAGACAGUAUUUCUCGCUGGUCUGGAACUCACCAAGUAGUCCAGCAAACACCAGAGUCACCCUCUCCACCUCCCCAGAGCUGGGACACAAGCCUGAGCUUUGAGCUUACAAGGCAAGUAAUUUGCUUGAU
rnacentral:lncRNA from 1 species